rnacentral:rRNA from 1 species
CCUACGGGAGGCAGCAGUGGGGAAUAUUGCACAAUGGGCGAAAGCCUGAUGCAGCGACGCCGCGUGAGGGAUGACGGCCUUCGGGUUGUAAACCUCUUUCAGCAGGGAAGAAGCGAAAGUGACGGUACCUGCAGAAGAAGCGCCGGCUAACUACGUGCCAGCAGCCGCGGUAAUACGUAGGGCGCAAGCGUUGUCCGGAAUUAUUGGGCGUAAAGAGCUCGUAGGCGGCUUGUUGCGUCGGUUGUGAAAGCCCGGGGCUUAACCCCGGGGUCUGCAGUCGAUACGGGCAGGCUAGAGUGUGGUAGGGGAGAUCGGAAUUCCUGGUGUAGCGGUGAAAUGCGCAGAUAUCAGGAGGAACACCGGUGGCGAAGGCGGAUCUCUGGGCCAUUACUGACGCUGAGGAGCGAAAGCGUGGGGAGCGAACAGGAUUAGAUACCCUGGUAGUCCACGCCGUAAACGUUGGGAACUAGGUGUUGGCGACAUUCCACGUCGUCGGUGCCACAGCUAACGCAUUAAGUUCCCCGCCUGGGGAUACGGCCGCAAGGCUAAAACUCAAAUGAAUUGACGG